rnacentral:rRNA from 1 species
AUUGAACGCUGGCGGCAGGCCUAACACAUGCAAGUCGAGCGGAGCGGCGGACGGGUGAGUAAUGCCUAGGAAUCUGCCUGGUAGUGGGGGAUAACGUCAGGAAACGGGCGCUAAUACCGCAUACUAGCAGAUGAGCCUAGGGCGGAUUAACUAGUUGGUGGGGUAAAGGCCUACCAAGGCGACGAUCCGUAACUGGUCUGCGAGGAUGAUCAGUCACACUGAAACUGAUACACGGUCCAGACUCCUACGGGAGGAAGCCGUGGGGAAUAAUGGACAAUGGGAGAAAGCCGGAUCCAGCCAUGCCGCGUGUGUUAAGAAGGUCUUCGGAUUGUAAAGCACUUUCAGUUGGGAGGCGUUACACACAGAAUAAGCACAGGCUAACUCCGUGGCAGCAGCCGCGGUAAUAC